rnacentral:lncRNA from 1 species
UGUGAGCCUCUGUGCUCAGCCCAUCCUUGGCUGUUCAAGUGUAGAGGAACCCUGGCCAUGGGAGCUAUCUCAGCCUAAUGCUCUCCCAUUAUGAAAUUUUACACCUUCUUUCUGUAUCAGGGUUCUUCUCCAAGCUCAGUCUGAAAUGAUGAAAGCAGCCAAGCAUGGUGGCUCACGCCUGUAAUCUCAGCAUUUUGGGAGGCUGAGGCGGAUGGAUCACCUGCGGUCAGGAGCUAAGACCAGCCUGGCCAACAUGGUAAAACCUCAUCUCUACUAAAAAUACAAAAAUUAGCUGGGCGUGGUGGUGGGCACCUAUAAUCUCAGCUACUCGGGAGGCUACAGUGAGCUGAAAUCACACCACUUGACUCAAAAGAGUGAAACUCUGUCUCAAAACAAAACAACAACAACAAUGACAAAGGAAACAGGAAAACAUCCUCAAUAAUAGAGGACUUACCAAAUUGGGUGCAGCCACUCAUACUGUGUCUUGAUUUGUAGAUAAAGAAAAUGAUGACCCUCCCUAGGUACUGAUUUAGAGUGACAUUUCUGUGAAAAUAGAGAAAUGCUUACAUAUCCAUAGAACACAUAUAUGCAUUUAAAAUUGUAUACAAGCAUGACAUAUACAUACAUAUUUGUGUGUAUGGCAUCUGCAUCCUUGUAUGUUUAAAUACGAUCUGGCAGUUGCAUUCUUUGGUAUAUACCCAAAUAUUUGAAAACUUAUAUCCACUCAAAUCCUGCACAUGAAUGUUACAGCAGCUUAUACACAACUGACAAAGAUUGGAAGUAACCAAGAUAUCCUGCAAUAUAGAAAUGGAUAAACUAACUCUGAAACAUUCAUACAAUGGAAUAUUCUUCAGAAAUAAAAAGAGAUGAACUACCAAGGCAUGAAAAGACAUGGAGGAAUCUUAAACAUGUAUUUCUAAGUGAAAGAAGCCAAUACAAAAAGGCCACAUAGUAUAGAGUUCCAAUUAUAUGGAAUACUAGAAAAGGCAAAACUAGGCAGAUGGUAUUAUAAAAAGUUCAGUGGUUGCCAGGGGCUUGAGCAGAGGGAAGGAAGAAUAGAUGGAGCACAGAAGAUUUUUAGGGCAGUGAAACUUUUCUGUGUGACCCUAUAAUGGUGGAUAUAUGUCCUUAAGCAUUUGUCAAAGCCCAUGAAUGGUAGAACAUAGAGAGUGAAUCUUAAUAUUGGCCGUGAACUUAAUAAUAGCAAUAUUGGCUCAUCAAGCAUAACAAAUUACCACACUAACAAGAUGAUAAUAGAGGAAGUGUGUGUACUAUGGUGUGAGGUGGAUAUUAGAGCUCAAUAUGCCUUCUGCUCUAUUUUUGUGUAUACCUACAACUGUUCUAAAAAUUAAGUC